rnacentral:rRNA from 1 species
CAUAGUGGCGCACGGGUGUGUAACACGUAUGCAACCUACCUUACAUUGGGGGAUAGCCUUUCGAAAGGGAGAUUAAUACCGCAUAAGACAGUAACUAGGCAUCUAGUAGCUGUUAAAGAUUUAUCGAUGUAAGAUGGGCAUGCGUCCAAUUAGUUAGUUGGCGAGGUAAUGGCUCACCAAGACUUUGAUUGGUAGGGGAACUGAGAGGUCAAUCCCCCACACUGGCACUGAGAUACGGGCCAGACUCCUACGGGAGGCAGCAGUAGGGAAUAUUGGGCAAUAGACGUAAGUCUGACCCAGCCAUGCCGCGUGCAGGAUGAAGGCGUUAUGCGUUGUAAACUGCUUUUAUACAGGAAGAAACGACUCAUGCGAGAGGCUUUGACGGUACUGUAUGAAUAAGCACCGGCUAACUCCGUGCCAGCAGCCGCGGUAAUACGGAGGGUGCAAGCGUUGUCCGGAUUUAUUGGGUUUAAAGGGUGCGCAGGUGGUUUAUUAAGUCAGUGGUGAAAGACGGUCGCUCAACGAUUGCAGUGCCAUUGAAACUGGUAGACUUGAGUAAAGUAGAGGUGGGCGGAAUUGAUAGUGUAGCGGUGAAAUGCAUAGAUAUUAUCAAGAACUCCAAUUGCGAAGGCAGCUCACUUGGCUUUUACUGACACUCAUGCACGAAAGUGUGGGUAUCAAACAGGAUUAGAUACCCUGG